rnacentral:rRNA from 1 species
GGGGGCUAUUUGUGGGUCUGUGGGGGCAAGCCUGAUCCAGCAAUGCCGCGUGCAGGAAGAAGGCCUUCGGGUUGUAAACUGCUUUUGUACGGAACGAAACGGUCUGGGUUAAUACCCUGGACUAAUGACGGUACCGUAAGAAUAAGCACCGGCUAACUACGUGCCAGCAGCCGCGGUAAUACGUAGGGUGCAAGCGUUAAUCGGAAUUACUGGGCGUAAAGCGUGCGCAGGCGGUUUUGUAAGACAGGCGUGAAAUCCCCGGGCUCAACCUGGGAAUUGCGCUUGUGACUGCAAGGCUGGAGUGCGGCAGAGGGGGAUGGAAUUCCGCGUGUAGCAGUGAAAUGCGUAGAUAUGCGGAGGAACACCGAUGGCGAAGGCAAUCCCCUGGGCCUGCACUGACGCUCAUGCACGAAAGCGUGGGGAGCAAACAGGAUUAGAUACCCUGGUAGUCCACGCCCUAAACGAUGUCAACUGGUUGUUGGGAAUUUACUUUCUCAGUAACGAAGCUAACGCGUGAAGUUGACCGCCUGGGGAGUACGGCCCGCAAGGUUGAAACUAAG